rnacentral:rRNA from 1 species
AGUGAACGCUGGCGGUAGGCCUAACACAUGCAAGUCGAACGGCAGCACAGUAAGAGCUUGCUCUUACGGGUGGCGAGUGGCGGACGGGUGAGGAAUACAUCGGAAUCUACUUUUUCGUGGGGGAUAACGUAGGGAAACUUACGCUAAUACCGCAUACGACCUACGGGUGAAAGCAGGGGAUCUUCGGACCUUGCGCGAUUGAAUGAGCCGAUGUCGGAUUAGCUAGUUGGCGGGGUAAAGGCCCACCAAGGCGACGAUCCGUAGCUGGUCUGAGAGGAUGAUCGGCCACACUGGAACUGAGACACGGUCCAGACUCCUACGGGAGGCAGCAGUGGGGAAUGUUGGACAAUGGGCGCAAGCCUGAUCCAGCCAUACCGCGUGGGUGAAGAAGGCCUUCGGGUUGUAAAGCCCUUUUGUUGGGAAAGAAAAGCAGCAGGUUAAUACCCCGCUGUUCUGACGGUACCCAAAGAAUAAGCACCGGCUAACUUCGUG